rnacentral:rRNA from 1 species
UACGGGGGGGGCAAGCGUUGUUCGGAAUUACUGGGCGUAAAGGGCGCGUAGGCGGCCAACUAAGUCGGAUGUGAAAUCCCCAGGCUUAACCUGGGGAACUGCAUCCGAUACUGGAUGGCUUGAAUCCGGGAGAGGGAUGCAGAAUUCCAGGUGUAGCGGUGAAAUGCGUAGAUAUCUGGAGGAAUACCGGUGGCGAAGGCGGGUCUCUGGGCCGUAACUGACGCUGAGGAGCGAAAGCAUGGGGAGCGAACAGG